GACGAACGCUGGCGGCGUGCUUAACACAGGCAAGUCGAACGAAGUGGCGAAAGGGUGAGUCAUACGUGGUUAACCUGCCCUCCUUUUUGGGAUAAGACUUGGAAACGGGGUCUAAUACCGGAUAAAGGGGGAGGGGCUCGCGGCCUAUCAGCUUGUUGGUGGGGUGAUGGCAUACCAAGGCGGUGACGGGUAGCCGGCCUGAGAGGGUGACCGGUCACAUUGGGCAUGAGAUCCGGCCCAGACUCCUACGGGUGGCAGCAGUGGGGGAUAUUGCACAAUGGACGAAAGCCUGAUGCAGCGACGCCGCGUGGGGGAUGAAGGCUUUCGGGUUGUAAACCGUGUUCGCUAUCUAACGGGUAGGUGGAGAAGAAGCGCAGGCUAACUACGUGCCAGCAGCCGCGGUAAUAC
rnacentral:rRNA from 1 species